UGCAACUUGGAAAUAUUUCCAAUAUUGGGAGUGGAGGGAACUGUGUAAGUCAGCCUCAACUUCCUGAAGACAAAGACAUGUGUCAUAUGUGUGGAACAGUUCUGCUAUCCCAAAAGUUGUGCAUGCAGGUUUGACUAAGAUUGGAUGGCUGCUUUAAUUUCAAUCUAGUUGCCGAAAUGAUUUUGCAGAUGGACCAUUCAGAAGGAGCAGUGAUGCAAAUAGGGGAGCUGUCUCGAGGAAUAAGCAACCUCACGACAAUGCUAAGCCAAGAUCAGAUGCUAAACAACGAUCAAUUUUUAACAUCAACUUUUGAGGACUGGAGAUGAAGAUGCCACAGGAAUAACACUUCAGUCCUUUCCUAUUAUGACAGAAAACUGAUGCAGGCUGAAUGCUAUACCUAAAAAUGCAUCAUUUUCUUUGCUAUUAAAAUAUGUGAAAGGUCAAUGUGCUUUUUAAAAAUGUACACACAUACACAGAUAAACUCUCUGGUCUAGGUAAUUAAGACAUGCAUUUAAAGAACUAUGCAAUUUUUCUAGAAAUUUGGAAAUCAAAGAUCUGUUGAUCACUUAUUUUAAUCACUAUGAACAUAUUUAACAGUGAUCCCUUUUUCUAUAUUUUGUAAUUUUAAGAUUUGGUUAUGGUGCAAUGGAACUGCAAUAGACUUCAAAGCUGUAGCUAUUUAUUGUCAGUGUAGUUUGUGCAAUGAUUUAUAUUGAAUCUAACUGAAAAUGUGAUUCCUUUAUGUAUUAAAAUGUGUUCACUGGUUCAAAAGAUACCAUGAUCAAGAGGACCUGAUGACUCCAUAGGCACAUCCAUGCAGCUGUCUUUGAAACAGUAUAGAAAUCUUUUGCCAUUGCUUUUUCAUUUUUUUUAAUGUAGAAACCUAGUCUACAAUCUCGGUAUUCCCUGGUGUUCUCCUAUCCAAGAAUUAACCAGGUCUGGUCCUGUUUGAUUUUCAAAGUUGGACAAUAUUAACCCAGUGCUACCACCAAUUUACACGCUCACUGUUUUCUUCAGGACUUUGACUAGUUGCUAUGAGUAUCAACUACUGAGUACUAGAAGCUCCCAAUAUUUGAUGAAGAAAUCAUUCCUAUCCUCUUUGUAAUCAUUCUUGUCUUCCAUCUUGCUAAUUUUGAACUAUACACACAAUCUACAACAAGUAGCCUUAUUAUCCGGGUUAAGCGGUGACAGGUUAACAAAAAAACUUCCAUUAGCUAUUUGUUUAUAUAACAUUUCAUUGUUGUAGUGUGAUAGAAACUGUGGGAAAGUCAGAGGUGAUUGUGCUUUGUUCAAGGGUUUAAAUGGGUGUAUUAAUUCAUGCAACAUCAAAAAUACAUUGUAAUAAAUUCUACAUUUCGUUUGACUUACAAAAUCAAAGGAAAUACACAACAGCAUGUUGGCAUAGGCUUUCACAGCUGGCAUCAAUGAAGCAGUGAUAACUGUUCUGGCAGUAUGGCUGGCUGGGGAAUUCUGGAAAUUAAAGUCCAUAAGUAUUAAAUGUUGCCAAGGUUGGAAACCCCAAUCCUAGACCAUAGCCAUACAGCCAGAAAGCUCAUCACUGCUUUAUACACAAUUGCCUUGCAGAUCAGUUUAUUUGUCCUAAUCAGCUAAAAAUUCUUUGAAACAUUCUAUAGAUUGAAUUGGAAGCAUGAGAAACAAUGAAGGGACCAAGCAAAUGCCCACAGUUGGACUUCUUUCUCUGUCAUCCCACUUAUUUUUCAGUGCAGAAAAUUCUUCAAGUCAUUUCCCAACUAUUAAAUUGUAAUAUUUCCUUAAAUUAUAGUAAUUGAGAGAAAAAUGUUUUGUCAGAAAAGAACCAACCUCUUCAAACUUACCAGUUUUCAAUACUAAAAACACCUUCAAAAUCCAUAGCUAGAUACCAAGAUUUUGUAAAAAAUAUAUGACAAUUUAGGGUGAAUUUAUAAUUACAUCUAAACCACCAAAAUCUCUGAUUUGGAGUAUCCAAGUUUACCAUUUAAAUUCAGGUAGAAAUAUUAGUAAUAUUUCAGCAGUGUGUGUAAACAGCUUUCCAAAUAAGGGGAAUACUGUUACUAAUUAGAAUCUGACAUGGUAUUCUUUCUUAUCUCUAACAGAAUUGUUCUGUUGUCUGUUUCAGUUUCCUUUUGAAAUGAGAUAAAUGGGCACACCUCAACACUAUUCUCUUUCAGAACUGAUUUGGGGGGUGGGGUAAUUGGCCACUCUCUGAAUAUCUUUUUUUUUUUUUUUUGCAGAAAUAUUUGCCAAUCUGUCCUAAAAGGCUUUCAGCAAUCUAUAGUUUAAAUUAAAAGGCUUGUAACAAUUCUAAUGCAACCUUGUUCAUCUAACUAUCUUUAUACAAGUUUGCCACCUACUGGUGACAAAAUUCCUUGUUUGCCAAAUACAUUCCCAAUAUAAGUUGUUACUAAUAUAAGCACAGCCUUUUUCUUCCUGCAAAAAUAUUAACCCGAAGAUAGCAACAAAUUUAUACUGCGACACCAGCCAGUUUUCAGUUAAAUAACAAGGCUUUGAAUAUUAUAAUCACUUGUAGAUGUGGCUCAAUAUUCAUCCAGAAGCUGUCCCUUUCAGACCUACGAUCAUUUUGAACAUACUUUUAUUUGAUGUAAAGGUAUAAAUUCUGGAUCUAAAAUAUUGCAUGUUCUAAUCUCAAGCUUUAUUGUACAUUUUUUUAAAAAAAUAAUUGCAUUAAAGCAUGUAUACGGGUGUUA